UUUAGCAAUAAAAGAGAAAAGACGCAAAGACACAUCGAUAAAUAUUUAAAUAAACGAAAAAUGUACUACAUUUCUUUGAAUCAAGAGACACGCAAUCUAUUCCAGCUUACCCCAGUUGGAAGGUAUUUCGUAUCCAGCUUUCAUGAACGACGUGAUUAUGCCCGUGAUUGCGAAACUUGCAGUCGAACUUCACGAGGCUGGCGUAUCAUGCAGUAAGAUGUACCCAAUAGUACGACGGCGAUUGCAGAACUACGUACUCGAAGAGGCUACCAAAGAAGGAUUUCUGGCCGCGUCGCAGAAUAAGGCAACAGAACAGAAAAGAGCAGAACAGAAAGGCUUGCACAUAUGACAAGGGCUGCAUUGAUGACAAGGGCUACACUUAUGAUGACAAGGGAAGUACAGAUGUCAAGGGCUAUAUUGAUGACAAGGGCUCCGCAGACGACAAGGGCUGAAAUGAUGAUGCAAAAAGCCGCAAAGAUGAUAAGGGCUGCAGAGAUGACAAGGUCUGCAUUGAUGAUAAGGGCUGCCAUGAGGAUGAUAGCUAAAGUGAUAACAAGGGCUGCACUGAUGACAAGGGCUGCAUCGAUGACAAGGGCUGCCCUUACUAAAAAUGCACUGAUGACACGGGCUGCAAUGACGAUGACAAGGCUUGCACUUUUGAUUACAAGAACAUCACAGAUGACACGGGCUGCAUUGAUGGCGAGGGCUCCGCAAAUGACAAGGACUGCAAUGAUGAUGCCAAAAGCCGCCUAGAUGACACUGGCUUUGUAAAGAUGACACAGACUGCACAGGUGACAAGGGCUUUGCAGAUGACAAGGGCUGCAAUAAUGAAAAGGGCUGCAAUGAUAAUGAUAAGGGCGGUACUGAUGAUGAGACGGGUUCCAAUAAUGAUUACAAUAGCUGCACAGAUGACACGAGCUGCACAUAUUACACGGGCUAAGCAGAUGACAAUGGCUGCGCAGAUGACAAAGAUUCGCAGAUGACAAGGGAUGCGCAAAUAACAAGGGCUGCGCAGACGACAAAUGCUGCGCAGACGACGAAUGCUGCGCAGGUGACAAGGGAUGCACAGAUGUCAAGCUCUGUGCAGAUGACAAAGGCUGCGCAGAUGACAAAGGCUGCGCAUAUGACAAUAGAUGCACAGAUGGCAAGGGUUGCGCAAGUGACAAAGGUUGUGUAGAUGACAAAGGCUGCGCAGAUGACAAGGGCUUCGUAGAUGACAAAGGCUGUGUAGAUGACGAAGGCUGUGCAGAUGACAAAGACUGCGCAGAUUACAAACGCUGCGCAGAUGACAAAGGCUGCGCAGAUGACAAUGGAUGUAUAGAUGACAAGGGCUGCACAGAUGAACAAGGCUGCACAGUUGUCACAGGCUGUUCAGAUGACAAGAGUCGCGCAGAUGACAAGGUAUGCACUGACAACAAGGGUUGCACGGAUGACAAGGGAUGCACAGAUGACAAGGGCUGCGAAGAUGACAAAGGCUGCGCAAAUGACAAAGGAUGCGCUGAUGACAAAGGCUGCGCAGGUGACAAGGGAUGCACAGAUGACACGGGCUGGUCAGAUGACAAAGGCUGUGCAGAUGACAAAGGCAGCGCAGAUGACAAGAAAUUCGCAGAUGACAAGUGAUUCGCAGAUGACAAAGGCUACACUGGUGACAAUGGAUACGCAGAUGACAAGGGCUGUGCAGAUGACAAAGGAUGUGCCGAUGACAAGGGCUGCGCAGAUGACAAAGGCUGUGUAGAUGACAAAGGCUGUGGAUAUGACAAUGACUGCACAGAUGACAAACGCUGCGCAGAUGACAAUGAAUGUACAGAUGAAAAGGGCUACGCAGGUGACAAAGGUUGCGCAGGUGACAAAGGCUGUGCAGAUGACAAGGGACGCACUGAUGAAAAGGACUGCGAAGACGACAAAGGCUUCGCAGAUGACAAGGGCUGCGCAGAUGACAAAAGCUGUGCAGAUUACAAGAGUCGCACAGAUGACAAGGGAUGCACUGAUGACAUGGGUUGCAUAGAUGACAAGGUAUGCACAGAUGACACCGGCUGUGAAGUUGGCUAGGGCUGCGCCGAUGACAAAAGCUGCGCAGCUGACCAAGGCUGCGCAAAACACGCGAUGCACAGAUGAAACGGGUUUUUCAGAUGACAAAAGCUGCGCAGAUGACAAAGACUGCGCAGAUAAAAAGUGAUGCGCAGAUGACAGAGGCUGCGCAGAUGACAAUGGAUGCGCAGAUGACAAGGGCUGUGCAGAUGACAAAGGCCUCGAAGAUUACAAAUGCUGCAAAGAUGACAAGGGAUGCACAGAUGAAAAGGGAUGCGCAGAUGAAAAGGGAUGCGCAGAUGACAAAGGCUGCGCAGAUGAUAAAGGCUGUGCAGAUGACAAAGGCUGCGCAGAUGACAAGGGAUACACAUAUGAUAAGAGCUGCGCAAAUGACAAAGGCUGCGCAGAUGACAAGAGUCUCACAUAUGACAAGGGCUGCACAGAUGACAAAGGAUGCGCAUGUGACAAAGGCUGUGCAGAUGACAAAGGCUGCACAGAUAAAAAUAGCUGCGCAGAUAGAUGACUAAGGCUGCGCGGAUGACAAGGGAUGCACAGACUACACGGGCUUCCCAGAUGAAAAGGGCUGUGAAGAUGACUAAUACUGCACCUAUAACAAGGGAUGCAAAGACGACACGGGCUAUGCAGAUGACAAAGGCUGCGCAUAUGACAAGAGUCUUAAAGAUGGCAAAGGCUUUGCAGAUGACAAUGGUCUCACAGAUAGCAAGAGAUGCACAAAUGAAAAGGGCUGUGCAGAUGACAAAGGCUUCGCAUAUGACAAUGGCUAUUCAUUUGACAAGGGCUUAACUUAGGCAAGCGCUGCGCAGAUGACACGGGUUGCACUGACGACAAGGGGUGCACAUAUGACAAGGCCUGCAUUGACAACAAUGGAUGCACAUAUAACAAGGGCUGCGCAGAUGACAAAGGCUGCAAUCAUGACAAGGGCUGCACUCGUGACAAGGGCUGCACUCAUGACAAGACUCUCACUGAUAAAAAUGGCUGCACUGAUGACAAGGGCUGCGCACAUGAUUAGGGCUGUACAAAUGACAAGGGCCUUACUUAUGACAAGGAAUGUGCAGAUGACAAUGGCAUCAAUUAUGAUGACAAGUGCAUCACGGAUGACUCGGGUUGUAAUGAUGUUGACAACGAGCUUGAGGAUUCCAUUACUGGGUGAUGACAAGAACCGCUCGAUGAAAAGAACCUGCAGCUAUUUAAGGAAGAUGCCAAGAGUGGCUUGGCGAAGAAGAAGGCAGCGGGCACAGGAUGGCGACUCCUAAGAAGAAUCCGUGUAGUGUUAAGACGAUUAUGUUGCAUUCAGAAGAUCAAAAAAAUGUGUGCACUUCUGUUAUUAAAUUUAAAUAAAGAUUGAUAAACAUAA